rnacentral:lncRNA from 1 species
ACAUAAACAAAGCAGGGUGCUUUCCCUUCCCAAGGGCUGAGCUUUCUCUCUUCCUUCUUCUGGCAGAGGCUUUCUAACUAUUCACAGGCUCUCUCCUUCCACAUCUCUCCCUCUCUGUGACACAGAAGAGAACCAAUGAGGAUGGCACGGCAGAGCCUAGGGCAACCCUAAGUAUCCUUCUAGCUGUUACAUGUCCCAGGCUUGCCCUUUACAUCUGGGGCCACAUUGUAUACAGAUGACUACAUGCUGCACUGCAUUGAUUUACUCAAUGUACUGCUCUUUUAGAUGGCCUCCUGAAUUUCAAACAAGGGAAGAACAGCAAGAUGGAAGAAUUCUCCAGUUUCUGUACUCUGCAGGAUUUCUGAAGUUCUACCUUAAAGUUCUACCUGGCUUUUGGGAACCUGUUCUCCAUGCUGGAUUACUUUCACCAACCUUGAUGCAGGGAGAGGAGCUUGGUCCUGCCUUUAACUUGAUAUGCCAUGCUUUGUUCAAGCCCAAUCGGACGCCUGCUUCUUUCUGAAUAGAGACUGAGAAGUGGAUGGGAGACAGGCAACUGCCCAAGACACUGCUCUAGGGUCUGUCUUGCUGAUUAACUCUGUCGUUUAUUGGAAAGCCACGGGCUUCUUCCUGUCAACUCAGGUUUGUAUACAGAGAAGUCAUGUGUUGAAAGCACACUGGAUGCCACCCCAACAGAUGUCCAGAAAACUUAAAAUAUGGAGAUAUGAAAAGUCCACAACUGACAUAGAAGUGCCUCAUUUUAAAACAUACAGCUGAAUUUCUAAGGACUUAGCCCACAACAUAGAAUUACAGGAAUGUUUGCUGAUGCUUCUACUGAUAUGAAUACAUCAUCAUAUGAUUGACCAGCCCCAGUGUAGGCAUUCCUUGCCAUCAUUAUGGAAGCUUUAUGACAUGAGCAUUGUGAAAAGUCCUAGAGAAGACCUUGAGAGCAUGGACAGAUGGCAAGUAGGUUUGAAGAGAAGAAAAAUAACAAGUCACCAGUUUUAGCUCAUGGG